rnacentral:rRNA from 1 species
UACGAAGGGGGCAAGCGUUGUUCGGAAUUACUGGGCGUAAAGGGCGCGUAGGCGGCUUAUCAAGUCAGGCGUGAAAUUCCCGGGCUCAACCUGGGGGCUGCGCUUGAUACUGAUUGGCUUGAAUGCGGGAGAGGAUAGUGGAAUUCCCAGUGUAGAGGUGAAAUUCGUAGAUAUUGGGAAGAACACCGGUGGCGAAGGCGGCUAUCUGGCCCGUAAUUGACGCUGAGGCGCGAAAGCGUGGGGGAGCAAACAGG